GAUGGGAUUUUCUCAUCUACUGCUCCAGUUCACAUACUGCGAGGUACUAGCUUUGAUGAGAUCUGGUUUUCUGGAAAAAAAAAAAAGGGAGAAGGAACUCAGUGAAUAUUGCCCUGGGUCCUGGUAAUUCCACCUACUGAAGACAACUGCCCCUUCUGCUCAUAUUUCCUGAGUCAACAUGGCCGUUCCUAACUUUGAAGAGACUUUAGACAUUCUUUGUUACAAUGAACCUAGAAGAAAGAAGAGAAAUAAUAACUGCCAUGGAAGGAUGCUCCUCCUGCCAAUUGGCACUUAUCAAUGACAUCGAGGGAGAGGGACAGAGUGCCUAGGUAUGAGCCUUCAUCAAGUGGUAUGAAGGCCCUACCCCAACAGAAAGUGCUGAUGUGAUGAAAUGGUGCUUUGGACAAGACUUUUCCUCCAAGUUGGUCCUAUCCAGGGGUUGGCAAACAGGGUCCCUGGACAUCAUCCAUGUGGCAUACUCUUAUGAAUAAAGUUCUAUAGGACAC
ensembl:lincRNA Pantr1 POU domain, class 3, transcription factor 3 adjacent noncoding transcript 1